GGGUGUUCACACGGCACACAUUUGCUCCUGCGCUGCACCGAUUUAUUUUGUUGCGAUAUAUUUCUCACCUCAGCAAAUUGUGUGGAGCGUUCACACGGACAAAGUCGCUGAGCAUGUCAGCACCGACACAGCGUCGGUGCAGCCCCACUUGCGUUCACACGGCACAGAACAAAUGAGCUGUCGUGUUGGUUCUUUUUAAAACGUACUGUAAACACAACUCAAGCGACUACUGGACAGGGACGUCCUUCUCCUUCUCGGUCUCCGUGCCUUCUGCUCGAGAGUGACCGCCCCCGAAAACGUAAAUCAACGAUGACUUCAAUGACACUCAGAAAAGCAAACACGUAAUGCGCCAAACAGAAAAUCAAGAGAGGAAAUCGCAAAAUAAAUUAUAUGGGGGGCGGGGGGUUGUGAACAAACAACAAAGGAAAAAACAACUCAGAGACAGUCGAGUCUCCUACAAAAGGAAAGCUGUUACCAGCCAAGUCUUGUGUCGUUAUUAAACAAACACAUGACGGAAGUCCGACAGAACACAAAAGCAACGCAUUUUCGCCGUACAUACUCUUCUCAAGCAUUUGCUCUGGAGCAAAUUUAACCCAGUUGCGUUCACACAUGCAAAUUUACAUCGGUGCUGCUUCGCAAACGAGCAUUUGCUCCGGAGCAAAUUUUUAAACCACCUCCCUGAGGUGGAUCAAAUUUGGUCCGGUGUAAGCGGUUUUCCGGUGCUACGCCGGAGCUAAUUUGCACUUGUGAACGCUCUACUGGGGCAGCCCCGGCGUAGCACCGGACCAAAUCUUGCCGUGUGAACACCCCUUA